rnacentral:rRNA from 1 species
CUGCGUGAAGCUGGAAUCGCUAGUAAUCGCGGAUCAGCAUGCCGCGGUGAAUACGUUCCCGGGCCUUGUACACACCGCCCGUCACACCACGAGAGUUUGUAACACCCGAAGUCGGUGAGGUAACCUUCUGGAGCCAGCCGCCGAAGGUGGGACAGAUGAUUGGGGUGAAGUCGUAACAAGGUAGCCGUAUCGGAAGGUGCGGCUGGAUCACCUCCUUUCUAAGGA